UGGUCAAGUUAUUAAGGGUGCAGGGCGGAUGCCUUGGCACUAGGAGCCGAUGAAGGACGUGAUAAGCUGCGAUAAGCUUCGGGGAGUUGCACGUAAACUUUGAUCCGAAGAUUUCCGAAUGAGGAAACUCACUUAGAGUAAUGUCUAAGUAUCAUUAAGUGAAUACAUAGCUUAAUGAGGGGAACUCAGGGAACUGAAACAUCUAAGUACCUGAAGGAAGAGAAAGAAAUUCGAUUCCGUAAGUAGCGGCGAGCGAACGCGGAUUAGCCCAAACCAAUAAAGUUUUCUUUAUUGGGGUUGCGGACAUAUCAUAACGAAGAGGUAUCGUAAUUGAAGAGGUUUGGAAAGACCCACCACAGAAGGUAAUAGUCCUGUAUGUUAAACGAGAAGACUUCAGAUAUGAUCCAGAGUACCACGGGACACGUGAAACCCUGUGGGAAGCAGGAGGGACCACCCUCCAAGGCUAAAUACUACCUAGUGACCGAUAGCGUAUAGUACCGUGAGGGAAAGGUGAAAAGAACCCCGGGAGGGGAGUGAAAUAGAACCUGAAACCCUGCACUUACAAGCUGUGGAAGCACAUUUCUUGUGUGACCGCGUACUUUUUGUAGAACGGGCCAACGAGUUACGUUAAGUAGCAAGGUUAAGCACUUAAGGUGCGGAGCCGUAGCGAAAGCGAGUUUUAACUGAGCGUUCAGUUACUUGACGUAGACCCGAAACCGGGCGACCUACCCAUGAGCAGGAUGAAGCGAAAGUAAAAUUUCGUGGAGGUCCGAACCCACGAGCGUUGAAAAGCUCGGGGAUGACUUGUGGGUAGCGGUGAAAUUCCAAUCGAGCCCGGAGAUAGCUGGUUCUCCCCGAAAUAGCUUUAGGGCUAGCCUCAAGGUGAGAGAUACGGAGGUAGAGCACUGAAUGUCCUAGGGGGUAUUGCACCUACCGAAGACUAUCAAACUCCGAAUGCCGUCAUCUUAUACUUGGGAGUCAGACUGUGGGUGAUAAGAUUCAUAGUCGAAAGGGCAACAGCCCAGAUCGUCAGCUAAGGUCCCUAAAUGUAAGUUAAGUGGUAAAGGAUGUGGGAUUGCACAGACAACCAGGAUGUUGGCUUAGAAGCAGCCACUCAUUCAAAGAGUGCGUAAUAGCUCACUGGUCGAGUGAUCCUGCGCCGAAGAUUUCCGGGGCUAAAACUUACUACCGAAGCUACGGCAUCAGUAAUGAUGGGUAGGGGAGCUUCCCAUACGGGUUGAAGCAUGACCGUAAGGACAUGUGGACAGUAUGGGAGUGAGAAUGUUGGCAUGAGUAGCGAGAUGUGGGUGAGAAUCCCACAGGCCGUAAACCCAAGGUUUCCAGGGGAAGGUUCGUCCGCCCUGGGUUAGUCGGGACCUAAGCUGAGGCCGAAAGGCGUAGGUGAUGGACAACAGGUUGAUAUUCCUGUACUACCGAUAACCGUUUGAGAGAAGGGAUGACACAGUAGGAUAAGCUAAGCACACUGUUGGUUAUGUGUGCCCAAGCAUUGAGGCAGUCAAAGUAGGCAAAUCCGCUUUGAUAAUGCUGGGAUGUGAUGGGGAGCGAAAUUUAGUAGCGAAGUAGCUGAUUUCACACUGUCAAGAAAAGUCUCUAUCGAGGUUAAAGGUACCCGUACCGCAAACCGACACAGGUGGGUGAGGAGAGUAUCCUAAGGCCAGCGAGAGAACUGUUGUUAAGGAACUCGGCAAAAUGACCCCGUAACUUAGGGAUAAGGGGUGCCACCAUCAGGUGGCCGCAGAGAAUAGGCCCAAGCGACUGUUUACCAAAAACAUAGGUUUCUGCUAAGUCGCAAGACGAUGUAUAGGAGCUGACGCCUGCCCGGUGCUGGAAGGUUAAGGGGAUCUGUUAGAGCAAUCGAAGCAGUGAACUUAAGCCCCAGUAAACGGCGGCCGUAACUAUAACGGUCCUAAGGUAGCGAAAUUCCUUGUCGGGUAAGUUCCGACCCGCACGAAAGGCGUAACGAUUUGGGCACUGUCUCAACAACAGACUCGGUGAAAUUGUAAUUCCGGUGAAGAUGCCGGAUACCUGCGACAGGACGGAAAGACCCCAUGGAGCUUUACUGUAGCUUGACAUUGGGUCUUGGUACUACAUGUACAGGAUAGGUGGGAGGCUUUGAAACCAGGACGCCAGUUUUGGCGGAGCCAUCCUUGGGAUACCACCCUUGUAGUACUGGGACUCUAACCAUAGGCCAUGAAUCUGGUCUUGGGACACUGUCAGGUGGGCAGUUUGACUGGGGCGGUCGCCUCCCAAAAGGUAACGGAGGCGCUCAAAGGUUCUCUCAGUACGGUCGGAAAUCGUACGUAGAGUGUAAAGGCAAAAGAGAGCUUGAUUGCAAGACAUACAGGUCGAGCAAGGAUGAAAAUCGGACUUAGUGAUCCGGUGGUUCUGCGUGGAAGGGCCAUCGCUCAACGGAUAAAAGCUACCCUGGGGAUAACAGGCUUAUCUCCCCCAAGAGUCCACAUCGACGGGGAGGUUUGGCACCUCGAUGUCGGCUCAUCACAUCCUGGGGCUGUAGUAGGUCCCAAGGGUUGGGCUGUUCGCCCAUUAAAGUGGUACGCGAGCUGGGUUCAGAACGUCGUGAGACAGUUCGGUCCCUAUCCGUCGCAGGCGUAGGAAAUUUGAGAAGACCUGUCCUUAGUACGAGAGGACCGGGAUGGACGUACCUCUGGUGUACCAGUUGUCCUGCCAAGGGCAUGGCUGGGUAGCUAUGUACGGAAUGGAUAAGCGCUGAAAGCAUCUAAGCGCGAAGCCAACUUCAAGAUAAGAUUUCCCACCGCAAGGGUAAGACUCCAGAAAGACUAUCUGGUUGAUAGGUCGAAGGUGUAAGUGCAGCAAUGUAUUUAGCUUAUCGAUACUAAUAGGUCGAGGACUUGACCAAU
rnacentral:rRNA from 1 species